GCGGGUGUAGCUCAAUGGCAGAGCACCAGCUUCCCAAGCUGGCUACGAGGGUUCGAUUCCCUUCACCCGCUCCA
rnacentral:tRNA from 5 species